UACAGAGGGUGCAAGCAUUAAUCGGAUUUAUUGGGCGUAAAGAGCGCGUAGGCGGGUUUUUAAGUCAGAUGUGAAAUCCCGGGGCUCAACCCCGGAACAGCAUUUGAAACUGAAAAUCUUGAGGGUAGUCGGAGAAAAUGGAAUUCCACGUGUAGCGGUGAAAUGCGUAGAUAUGUGGAAGAACACCGGUGGCGAAGGCGAUUUUCUAGAUUAUACCUGACGCUGAGGCGCGAAAGCAAGGGGAUCAAACAGG
rnacentral:rRNA from 1 species